ACGGGGGUUGCAAGCGUUGUCCGGAAUUACUAGGCGUAAAGGGCAGGUAGGCGGUUCCAUAAGUUUUUUGUUAAAGGCAACGGCUUACCCGUGGUAAUGCUGGAGAUACUGUGGAUCUGGAAUGCGGUUGAGGAAGACAGAAUUCCUGGUGUAGCGGUGGAAUGCGCAGAGAUCAGGAGGAAUACCGAAAGCGAAGGCUGUCAUCUAGGCCGACAUUGACGCUAAACUGCGAAGGUUUGGGUAUCAAACAG
rnacentral:rRNA from 1 species